GGGUUGUGAGGUUAAGCGACUAAGCGUACACGGUGGAUGCCCUGGCAGUCAGAGGCGAUGAAGGACGUGCUAAUCUGCGAUAAGCGUCGGUAAGGUGAUAUGAACCGUUAUAACCGGCGAUUUCCGAAUGGGGAAACCCAGUGUGAUUCGUCACACUAUCAUUAACUGAAUCCAUAGGUUAAUGAGGCGAACCGGGGGAACUGAAACAUCUAAGUACCCCGAGGAAAAGAAAUCAACCGAGAUUCCCCCAGUAGCGGCGAGCGAACGGGGAGCAGCCCAGAGCCUGAAUCAGUGUGUGUGUUAGUGGAAGCGUCUGGAAAGGCGCGCGAUACAGGGU
rnacentral:rRNA from 2 species